rnacentral:rRNA from 1 species
GGCGGUAAAUUUAUAUUUAGAGGAGCUUGCUUAGUAAUUGACUUAACUCAUUAAAUUUAACUUUAUUAAGUUUAUUUAUCUCCGUUAUUAAGACAUUUUGUUUAAUAAUAUUUUUAGAUAUUAUUUCAGGUCAAGAUGUAGUUUUAUAAAGUUAAGGUGAGCUACAUUUUAUAAUAAAUGGAUUAUUAAAUUAGGUAAAAUAUGAAAAUGGAUUUAGAAGUAAUUUUUUUUAUAAUUAAAAGGUGAAUUUUUUUAGUUUAUGUACACAUC